UGAAAAACCCUCAUAUUCCAAGAUCGCUGCUAAGAAAAUGGAUGGCCACUUGGUACAUCUAGAAAGGUGAAGGACCAUUGGAGAUAUACCACAUGAGGCUAUAACUCUGUGAACUUUGAAAAUAUGGAAGAGCCACCCCAUAGCUC
rnacentral:lncRNA from 1 species